GACGAACGCUGGCGGCGUGCUUAACACAUGCAAGUCGAACGGUAAGGCCCUUCGGGGUACACGAGUGGCGAACGGGUGAGUAACACGUGGGUGAUCUGCCCUGCACUUCGGGAUAAGCCUGGGAAACUGGGUCUAAUACCGGAUAGGACCACUGCCUGCAUGGGUGGUGGUGGAAAGCUUUUGCGGUGUGGGAUGGGCCCGCGGCCUAUCAGCUUGUUGGUGGGGUGAUGGCCUACCAAGGCGACGACGGGUAGCCGUCCUGAGAGGGUGACCGGCCACACUGGGACUGAGGUACGGGCCAGACUCCUACGGGAGGCAGCAGUGGGGAAUAUUGCACAAUGGGCGCAAGCCUGAUGCAGCGACGCCGCGUGAGGGAUGACGGCCUUCGGGUUGUAAACCUCUUUCAGCACCGACGAAGCGCAAGUGACGGUAGGUGCAGAAGAAGGACCGGCCAACUACGUGCCAGCCGCCGCCGUAA
rnacentral:rRNA from 1 species